rnacentral:rRNA from 1 species
UACGGGGGGGGCAAGCGUUGUUCGGAAUUACUGGGCGUAAAGGGCUCGUAGGCGGCCAACUAAGUCAGACGUGAAAUCCCUCGGCUUAACCGGGGAACUGCGUCUGAUACUGGAUGGCUUGAAUCCGGGAGAGGGAUGCGGAAUUCCAGGUGUAGCGGUGAAAUGCGUAGAUAUCUGGAGGAACACCGGUGGCGAAGGCGGCGAGCUGGUCCAUUACUGACGCUGAGGCGCGAAAGCGUGGGGAGCAAACAGG